AGAGUGAACGCUGGCGGCAGGCCUAACACAUGCAAGUCGAACGGCAGCACAGAGGAGCUUGCUCCUUGGGUGGCGAGUGGCGGACGGGUGAGGAAUACGUCGGAAUCUGCCUAUUUGUGGGGGAUAACGUAGGGAAACUUACGCUAAUACCGCAUACGACCUACGGGUGAAAGCGGAGGACCUUCGGGCUUCGCGCAGAUAGAUGAGCCGACGUCGGAUUAGCUAGUUGGCGGGGUAAAGGCCCACCAAGGCGACGAUCCGUAGCUGGUCUGAGAGGAUGAUCAGCCACACUGGAACUGAGACACGGUCCAGACUCCUACGGGAGGCAGCAGUGGGGAAUAUUGGACAAUGGGCGCAAGCCUGAUCCAGCCAUGCCGCGUGUGUGAAGAAGGCCUUCGGUGUAAAGCACUUUUGUACGGAAGAAAGCUUUCGGUUAAUACCCGGAAGUUCUGACGGUACCGUAAGAAUAAGCACGGCUAACUUCGUGCCAGCAGCCGCGUAAU
rnacentral:rRNA from 1 species